UACUUACAUUCACUUAGGAUAGCCUUAAAAUUUUAUAAUAUGAUCAGCUUCGGGAUGAGGCAAUUUGUUUGUUCAAUGGACUUGUGUUGAUGUGUUUCUUUUGCGAGCAUGACAAAGUGGUUAGUGCAGUGGAUGAUCUUCUAUCACUGGUAGUUGAUAAUAAUCUGGGGCACUACUUUGCCGCCACACAAGAUUCUGAUCUUCCUAAUGUGCUAUGUGUGCUUGUGUAUUAUGUAUGGUCCAGUUCAGAUUAUAUUAAAGUACAUGAACGGUUCAUUCUUUAAUUUAUGGUAAUUUCACUGUAACUCUUUAUUGUGGAAUGAAUAUUGUAGGGGCAUGAGCCAAAACUGAUUGUGCUCAAGACUGGACCUGAUGUUUGGUCGCUGUUGUUUUAACUCUUGUGCAUAGGAACUAAAUUAGAGACUUGGGGUUUUAAUGGUGUUGAUGUCAUAAGGAAAAGUAAACAACAGGUGCGCUCAAGAUUGAACUGUCAAGAUCAGAGUAUGAUGCUUCCUCUCAGACUUUGGGUGUUGGCUUCAACCAAAAUUCCUAUUCAGAAGUAGGCAUGAAAAUCUCUUUUGAAGUACGAAUAGGACAAAAUCUCUCUCAGAAUGCAAUCGGACCAGAUAGCUGGUGACAGUUACACCAAGCUUCUUGCAUAUGUGUAUAACUUGCCAAAUCAGGAUUCCAAAUCCUGAGUUGUCAUGCACAUAAAUAUUUCUGAAGAUCGAAGCAACAAAUCCUCUUGAAUGAUAUGUAUUCUUUCCCUAUUACUUACUGGUGUUUUAACACAAAGUAAUCAUUAUGUAUAAUUAUACACAUCAUUGUCCCUGUAGAAAAAAAUACAUAGAUAACCAAUGUACAUAUUUAUUUCUACAUGAUAGAACAGUAUGUACUCAUCAUCAGAUAUGUAUUGAGUUGUUGCAUUGUAGCUAGCUUGGAAUUAAAGUGAUGGUAUGGAAGUUAUUUUGCCUAUAACAUGAAAUGAAGUGUUAUAAAGUUUCAAAUUAUAUAAAAUUACCUACUGCAUUGAGGCAAAUAUGAUUCAAUAGAUCAUAACUAUGAAAAACUAAACCUGAGUCCUUAUCUAAAUCCGAUAAUUUGUUUUCCUCUUGGAGAGAAUGGACUUGGUAAUAUGUGGCCAUUACGAUUUAAUUUUUUUAGGGAACUCGGGUAUUUAUGUUCUGGGAUUCAUGUGAAGAAAUAUAGGGUUUAUGCACAGAUUUAAAUUCAAGUGGGAAACCUAAAUAUGUUGAUUAAGAUUAGCAUAUAGGUAAGUUAAACUAUAGACUUGACAUAUGUACAGUAAUCUUAUUUGUACAUCUCAAACAGGUUGGAAAGAGUACUAAUGGCAGUUUGAAACAAACAAAAUGUGCGGCUGCCAUUUGUAGUUAAGGAACUACUUGGUCGUCUAAAAUCCCUCGCAUGAGCGCCGUGCUAGGCAUUACAGAAAGGAGGUGCAAAUGUCCAGCGCCAUCGCAUCAGCGCCUUACUUGGCACUGCAACAAGGAGGUGAGGAUGUCCAGUGGCCGGCGACAUGUGGGAAGGCCCAUGGAAGCAUCAGCCAGUAUUGUCUGGUGCCCAAUGAUACAUAGGUAAACAUGAUGGAUGAGUAGUAUGCUACUGAUGAAGAUGAUUAAGUACGAUGUCAUCUACUGUCAGUUGAUAAUUCCUGGGAACAACAUAAACAAAACUGAAACCAGGAAAAGGGUGUCGGAUAAUUACUGUGGAGAUUUGGAAUUAUUGGGGAGUUUUUAGGACCAAGAAACUCACAUUUGUCAAUUCGGAGUUAGAGAUUUGUUUUGGCAUCACGAAUUGCACCCGUUGGAGAAGGAAAUGAAUAUGAAGUUUCAUGUAAUGGCCGGUUUUUCUACAUUGGAUUGUCAGGUAUAAAGUUUCAUGUUUUUUAAGUUACCAUAUCUACUUUUCGAAAGCAUUAUCAUAUCUACUAUUGCAUCAUAUUAAGGGAAAGUGGUAUUUCGAUGCUACAUGAUUUUAAAU